rnacentral:tRNA from 1 species
UCCGAUAUGGUGUAGUGGCUAACAUCGCUCGCUUUCAAUUCGCUUCCCAGCUAAGAAUCGAAGCGGUACCGAGCAGCCCCGGGUUCGAUUCCCGGUGUCGGAA